AUUGAACGCUGGCGGAAUGCUUUACACAUGCAAGUCGAACGGCAGCACGGGGGCAACCCUGGUGGCGAGUGGCGAACGGGUGAGUAAUACAUCGGAACGUGCCCAGUCGUGGGGGAUAACGUAGCGAAAGUUACGCUAAUACCGCAUACGAUCUACGGAUGAAAGCGGGGGACCGUAAGGCCUCGCGCGAUUGGAGCGGCCGAUGUCAGAUUGGGUAGUUGGUGAGGUAAAGGCUCACAAAGCCGACGAUCUGUAGCUGGUCUGAGAGGACGACCAGCCACACUGGGACGGAGACCCGGACCAGACUCCUACGGGAGGCAGCAGUGGGGAAUUUUGGACAAUGGGCGCAAGCCUGAUCCAGCCAUUCCGCGUGCAGGACGAAGGCCUUCGGGUUGUAAACUGCUUUUGUACGGAACGAAAAGGCUCUGGUUAAUACCUGGGGCUCAUGACGGUACCGUAAGAAUAAGCACCGGCUAACUACGUGCCAGCAGCCGCCGUAA
rnacentral:rRNA from 1 species